rnacentral:rRNA from 1 species
AUUGAACGCUGGCGGCAUGCUUUACACAUGCAAGUCGAGCGGCAGCGCGGGGGCAACUCUGGCGGCGAGCGGCGAACGGGUGAGUAAUGCAUCGGAACGUAUCCUGCAGUGGGGGACAACGCCGCGAAAGCGGCGCUAAUACCGCAUAUGCUCUGUGGAGGAAAGUGGGGGACCUGAGAGGGCCUCACGCUAUGGGAGCGGCCGAUGUCCGAUUAGCUAGUUGGUGGGGUAAAGGCUUACCAAGGCGACGAUCGGUAGCUGGUCUGAGAGGAUGAUCAGCCACACUGGGACUGAGACACGGCCCAGACUCCUACGGGAGGCAGCAGUGGGGAAUUUUGGACAAUGGGGGCAACCCUGAUCCAGCCAUGCCGCGUGCGGGAAGAAGGCCUUCGGGUUGUAAACCGCUUUUAGUCGGGAAGAAAAGGCACGGGUUAAUACUCUGUGUUCUUGACGGUACCGGCGGAAUAAGCACCGGCUAACUACGUGCCAGCCGCCGCGGUAACAC